UACGGAGGAUGCGAGCGUUAUCCGGAUUUAUUGGGUUUAAAGGGUGCGUAGGCGGAUUUUUAAGUCAGCGGUGAAAUGUCCGGGCUCAACCCGGGCCGGCCGUUGAAACUGGGGAUCUUGAGUGGGCGAGAAGCAUGCGGAAUGCGUGGUGUAGCGGUGAAAUGCAUAGAUAUCACGCAGAACUCCGAUUGCGAAGGCAGCAUACCGGCGCCCGACUGACGCUGAGGCACGAAAGCGUGGGGAUCGAACAGG
rnacentral:rRNA from 1 species